rnacentral:rRNA from 1 species
GAUGAACGCUGGCGGCGUGCUUAACACAUGCAAGUCGAACGAACCUUCGGGUUAGUGGCGGACGGGUGAGUAACGCGUGAGAAUCUGCCCUCAGGAGGGGGACAACAGCUGGAAACGGCUGCUAAUACCCCAUAUGCCGCGAGGUGAAAUGAAUUUCGCCUGAGGAUGAGCUCGCGUCUGAUUAGCUAGUUGGUGUAGGUAAUGGCUCACCAAGGCAUCGAUCAGUAGCUGGUCUGAGAGGAUGAUCAGCCACACUGGGACUGAGACACGGCCCAGACUCCUACGGGAGGCAGCAGUGGGGAAUUUUCCGCAAUGGGCGAAAGCCUGACGGAGCAACGCCGCGUGAGGGAUGAAGGCCUCUGGGCUGUAAACCUCUUUUAUCAAGGAAGAAGAUCUGACGGUACUUAAAGGAUAAGCCACGGCUAAUUCCGUG